rnacentral:rRNA from 1 species
UACGUAGGGUGCGAGCGUUGUCCGGAAUUACUGGGCGUAAAGAGCUCGUAGGUGGUUUGUCGCGUCGUCUGUGAAAUUCCGGGGCUUAACUUCGGGCGUGCAGGCGAUACGGGCAAUACUUGAGUGCUGUAGGGGAGACUGGAAUUCCUGGUGUAGCGGUGGAAUGCGCAGAUAUCAGGAGGAACACCGAUGACGAAGGCAGGUCUCUGGGCAGUAACUGACGCUGAGGAGCGAAAGCAUGGGUAGCGAACAGGAUUAGA